UCGAGCGGAUGACGGGAGCUUGCUCCUUGAUUCAGCGGCGGACGGGUGAGUAAUGCCUAGGAAUCUGCCUGGUAGUGGGGGACAACGUUUCGAAAGGAACGCUAAUACCGCAUACGUCGUACGGGAGAAAGCAGGGGACCUUUCGGGCCUUGCGCUAUCAGAUGAGCCUAGGUCGGAUUAGCUAGUUGGUGGGGUAAUGGCUCACCAAGGCGACGAUCCGUAACUGGUCUGAGAGGAUGAUCAGUCACACUGGAACUGAGACACGGUCCAGACUCCUACGGGAGGCAGCAGUGGGGAAUAUUGGACAAUGGGCGAAAGCCUGAUCCAGCCAUGCCGCGUGUGUGAAGAAGGUCUUCGGAUUGUAAAGCACUUUAAGUUGGGAGGAAGGGCAGUAAGUUAAUACCUUGCUGUUUUGACGUUACCGACAGAAUAAGCACCGGCUAACUCUGUGCCAGCAGCCGCGGUAAUACAGAGGGUGCAAGCGUUAAUCGGAAUUACUGGGCGUAAAGCGCGCGUAGGUGGUUUGUUAAGUUGGAUGUGAAAGCCCCGGGCUCAACCUGGGAACUGCAUCCAAAACUGGCAAGCUAGAGUACGGUAGAGGGUGGUGGAAUUUCCUGUGUAGCGGUGAAAUGCGUAGAUAUAGGAAGGAACACCAGUGGCGAAGGCGACCACCUGGACUGAUACUGACACUGAGGUGCGAAAGCGUGGGGAGCAAACAGGAUUAGAUACCCUGGUAGUCCACGCCGUAAACGAUGUCAACUAGCCGUUGGAAUCCUUGAGAUUUUAGUGGCGCAGCUAACGCAUUAAGUGACCGCCUGGACCCCCCAUGAAUUACU
rnacentral:rRNA from 1 species